rnacentral:lncRNA from 1 species
UGAGUGAAUUUGGAUAUAUAUACAAAGGGGAUUUUUUAAAAUUUUUGAAUGAUCUCUAUUUUUUUAAUUUCGGAAGUAUAUCUCUAUAUUCUUAUGAUAUAUCACAUAAGGUUAUUAUUGUAAGUUACCAUAUAUAUUCCGAGGAAAUAUCACAGUGGCUUUAUUAAAUUAAUAACAUAGUAAUUGUUCCAGAUCAACGCCGUAUAUUAUUCAGUAAAAACGAAGAGGAGAAUGUUCUGUUGUGUCAUUGUAGGAGCAACCAUGAAAGAAAUAUUAUAUUAUUAUUCCUUUUUAAAAUCUACAGAAGCUUCUUGACCGAAGAGGAGAAUAAUUCUCCUGCUAAAUCAUUCUAGAAGUAAGCAAGUUAAAACAUGAUAAUUAGUUGUCAUAUUGUCCGGUCGUGCUCUAGACCUAUUGAUCUUACAUGGAUUAAUUAAUACGUGGACAAGGAUUAUUGAACCACGUUAAUAUACAUAUUACUUAAAUCAUUCAUGCGGUGGCCAGUCAUAAUUUUGUUUACCUGUUUUAAUAUUUCUGACUGAAUUAAAUGGGGCGAAAUUAAUAGUAUUUUUUUAUUAUUAUCCACAGUAACUCUUAUUAUUAAACCCGGUCUAAUAAAUUAAUUUUAAAUUCAAAUGAUUCAAGAUUUAAUUUUAAAAAAAAUUUAAACAAUGUUUUUGUGAUUUAACGGGAUGAAUUUAGGUUAAUCUACGGGUUUGUAUUGGGGUUUAAUAACUUUGUAAUAUCGUGUAUUGGCUGCAUUCAAUUGGUAUUUUCCGGGCUAUAUAACAUGGUUUCUUGUGUUUUCUUUCGUUAUUUUAGAAAAUGACCCUCCUGUCUUCUUGAUUUAAUUAAUAUAUUGUGAACAUAAUCAACUAUUGUUAAGAGUACCAUUACAUGUGACCAUGGUAUAAAUUCAUACGCCAGCACAUGGAACAAUAUUUGUAUUGAAAUUAAUUAAAAAUAAAAUGAGUUUUCUUAUUGAUGAAAGUAUCAAAAAUUAAGUAGUUUGAGAAAAGAACUUUCAAGUUGGAUACUCGGUAAAUUAAUUCUAGCAAUUUCAUUU